AGUAACACGUGGAUAACCUACCUAUAAGACUGGGAUAACUUCGGGAAACCGGAGCUAAUACCGGAUAACAUGUUGAACCGCAUGGUUCAACAGUGAAAGACGGUCUUGCUGUCACUUAUAGAUGGAUCCGCGCUGCAUUAGCUAGUUGGUAAGGUAACGGCUUACCAAGGCAACGAUGCAUAGCCGACCUGAGAGGGUGAUCGGCCGCACUGGAACUGAGACACGGUCCAG
rnacentral:rRNA from 1 species